GUCCGCUUCACACAAACACUCAUCAGCGCCUGAUACAUACGUGCCCCGGAGAGCACACGUCCCCGUGGAAGCGACACCGGCCAACACCAGGAGACCUGCAGAUCCAACAAACGCUGAAGCAAGGAACCCAAAGGUCUAUUCACAUAUCUACCAGUUUCUCUCUGAUCUAGACUCUUCUCUUAGAGUAUUUGACAGACUGUGGUUGACACUCGAAUUAAGGGGGUGUCAGUUUGUCAAAUACCCCAAGAGAGGGGGCACGAGUCUCCAAAGUUCAGCGACAACUCGUUUGACACAAGCGACUUUACUACAGCCUCAUGUUCAAGCAUGUGCAAAAUGCUUGUGCAAAAUGUCUAAGGAAAAGAAUCAGAUAAACAGAACCACGGAAUGUCUUCUGUAUAAUCUAAUCAUUUAUAGUCUGCAUUUGUGUCUCUUGGCUCUAUAUUGCUGCAAUCUUUCUGGAUGGAUGAACAGGUAGAUUGGAAACAAGUAGAUGGAAAAACAAAUGCCAGAAAAGUAGCAUUACUGCAGUGCUGUCUGUAUCAGGGAUCAUUAUGUUAUAAUAAAGUACUCUUACAUACUUAAUAUGAUUUAGAUAACCAGCGUUUAGCAUGCUGAGCAUACUAGCAACUGCUGAUGACAGUUUGAGUGCACAAGUUCCUUGCUAUAGAAAAGAAAUGUGAAAUUUGUUUAUUUGUUAUUGUGUUGCAAUGCAUGUGGAAAUGUGAAUGCAUGUAAAUUAAAUCUAAGCAUGUUUUGAUUACAUUUAGUAUUUCAAUUCUGUGUACAGUGGUUGUUUAUUAGAACAUCAAACAAUAAUUACAAAUGGAAAUUUCGCUUUCAGAAAUGAAAUUUUAUCAGGUUAAUAAGAAAAGUACAUUUGCAUUUCCAGAAAGAAUUACCAGUGCUUGCAAGUUUGCAAAAGAAUGCUGUUCUAGUUUUUGUUACGCUUAGGCUUUAGCAUUUGGUCCUGCAUCAAUAAAAUGUUGCAUUUCAAUCACCAUUAUCAUGA